GUGCAUGUGGCCAGCACCAUAACCAUUGUGCUACAGGCACUGAGCCAUGUAACAUGCUGUAUUUAAAAAGGAAUUCUUAGGGCUGUCAAUAUUGUAAUGAAUGUCAAGAAGUACUAUCUAACUCCUACAGAA
ensembl:snoRNA